CACAAUUUUUCAUGAUGAACAGUUUGAGCUGUGAUGAACCAGAGUACAAUUCCAGAACGUUUACAUAUAUUGAACAUUAAGGUUAGAAGUUGCAGUUUUCUGCACUGGUUUGGCUAGUUAAAAUGACUUGCACCCUUGCUGGCUUUAGACCAUUGAGCAUUAAAAGCAAAUCAGCCCGUCUGAAGUUUCCUCUAGGCUUUGUUUACAUGAAUUUGACAACCUUCAAGCCUCUUCUCCUAACCUUUCUUAAUCUGACAUGGGAGGCAACAUUAUUGUCAGUUUAUCACCAAGAGGAAUAAGAAGGGGCAUUUCUUGUUGCUUUUCGUGAUAUCAGAGAAGAUAAGUCUGACUUUCCUGAAUGAUCGUAUAAAAAGUCUCUCUUGUAACUAAAAUUAUAAAGAAGCAAUGCCUGAAAUAUAAGAUACAAUGUUUUUGUGAGAGAAUAAUAUAAAUUAUAUCUUAAGAAUUCAUAUAACAGCUUAAGUUAUUGGGUUAAGAUAGUUUUGUAGCAUAAUAUCAAAGCCUUAAUAACCAAGCGGUCACGAGUUCGAAUCUCAUCAUCCCUAUUUAUUUGAUAAAAAUUAAACACAAGAUAAUAUGGGUCUGUGCAAAUUUCAAGCUCAAAUAACUUUUCUUUAAAGAAAUAUGUAAUUGGGUGGAGAUAAUUUUUUUUUUUUUUUUAACAGUUUCUUAAUAUCCGGAAGAAACUAAAUGCCAAAACUCUUCAGACUUGCUGCUUUAGACCAUUAAGCUUGUAAGAAUAAAACAUGAUGGAACACAAACACACCUUGAUGCAUGACGAUCAUGCCUAUGUUUACAGAAUUCUGUAAGCUGCAUUGCUUCUCUAAC
rnacentral:lncRNA from 1 species